rnacentral:rRNA from 1 species
AACGAACGCUGGCGGCAUGCCUAACACAUGCAAGUCGAACGAGACCUUCGGGUCUAGUGGCGCACGGGUGCGUAACGCGUGGGAACCUGCCCUUAGGUUCGGCAUAACUCCCCGAAAGGGGUGCUAUACCGGAUAAUGUCUUCGGACCAAAGAUUUAUCGCCUUUGGAUGGGCCCGCGUUGGAUUAGCUAGUUGGUAGGGUAAAAGCCUACCAAGGCGACGAUCCAUAGCUGGUCUGAGAGGAUGAUCAGCCACACUGGGACUGAGACACGGCCCAGACUCCUACGGGAGGCAGCAGUGGGGAAUAUUGGACAAUGGGCGAAAGCCUGAUCCAGCAAUGCCGCGUGAGUGAUGAAGGCCUUAGGGUUGUAAAGCUCUUUUACCCGGGAUGAUAAUGACAGUACCGGGAGAAUAAGCUCCGGCUAACUCCGUG